ACUCUCAUCAACACACCACCUGCUUCACUCUCUCAGUACUCUCAUCAACACACCACCUGCUUCACUCUCUCAGUACUCUCAUCAACACACCACCUGCUUCACUCUCUCAGUACUCUCAUCAACACACCACCUGCUUCACUCUCUCAGCACUCUCAUCAACACACCACCUGCUUAACUCUCUCAGCACUCUCAUCAACACACCACCUGCUUCACUCUCUCAGUACUCUCAUCAACACACCACCUGCUUCACUCUCUCAGUACUCUCAUCAACACACCACCUGCUUCACUCUCUCAGUACUCUCAUCAACACACCACCUGCUUCACUCUCUCAGUACUCUCAUCAACACACCACCUGCUUCACUCUCUCAGUACUCUCAUCAACACACCACCUGCUUCACUCUCUCAGUACUCUCAUCAACACACCACCUGCUUCACUCUCUCAGUACUCUCAUCAACACACCACCUGCUUCACACUCUCUCAGUACUCUCAUCAACACACCACCUGCUUCACUCUCUCAGUACUAUCAUCAACACACCACCUGCUUCACACUCUCUCAGUACUAUCAUCAACACACCACCUGCUUCACUCUAUCAACAACUAUAGAUUUUUGGGCUCAUGCAUUAUUUCCAAGCUGCUGAAAUAAAUAUACUAAAAUAUAUAUUUUUCAUAUCUUAAAAAAAAGAAACUGUUUUAGUGUGGGGGAAAAUAACCAGGUUCUAUUUUGUAUUAGUGUAUUUAAUAUCAGACAUUACUGUAGUGUGAUUGUGUAUAGGUAUCCACCCUCCGUUAUCUGAUUUGACAUUUUCUUGUGAGUGAAAUAUUGAGGACUCUUGCUGCUGAUUGGGUCUGAGAAGGAAAGAGGGCUGGCCCAGGGCUGUUGCUAUGGGAAUUGUCCCAGCAACCACUAGCCGUAGUGGAAACGGAACAAAAUGGAGGGUGGUUGGGACAGAGCGGACGUCGCUGCGUUCUGGUUUCAACUUUAAAACAUGAGCACAGGUGCUUCAUGACAAACCUUACUAGCAUGUUUGGCUGUAUCAUGUUUCUUUGGCACUGUAUUUUGAAUGACCGUUUUAAUUUAUUAAAAAAAACAUACCAAAACUACUCGUUGUUUUCACAUUUAUGGAAUGAAUGUGUUUUUGUUGAUUUUCAGUACACUUGAUUUGUCACAAUGUAUUUGUUUAUACGAGUCAACUCACAGUACAGCACAGCACAGUACAGUACAGUACAAUUCCUUACAAUUCCUUAUACCUUACCAGCAUUAGUUACUGAGCGUGUUGUUGAGUCGACGUUAAGUGUGUGGGUAAAACAGAAUUUGGUUUUAUGUUAAUAUAAAAUGUUUAGUUUGAUCGAGAUGGUGUCGGACAACCUAUAGACAGACCGGUUAUGCCUGCUGUCUGAACUUAUUUUUUUCCCUUCCCAUAAUUGUGUUGACACUGACAUUCACCCAGGCAGGUCUUGCAGGUUUUUGCUCAAACCCUAAUCUAGAGCACCUGAUUCUAAUUAGGAGGUUGACCGAUUAAACUGAAUGGCCGAUUAAUUAGGGCCGAGUUCAAGUUUUCAUAACAAUCGGAAAUCGGUAUUAUAAUUUUUUUACAUUUAUUUGUAAUUUUUUAAAUGCCUUUUUUAUUUAACUAGGCAAGUCAGUUAAGAACACAUUCUUAUGUUCAAUGACGGCCUAGGAACGGCGGGUUAACUGCCUUGUUCAGGGGCAGAAAGACAGAUUUUCACCUUGUCAGCUCGGGGUAACCAAUCUUGCAACCUUACGGUUAACAAAGUCCAACGCUCUGAUCCACCUGCCUCUCAUUGCACUCCACGAGGAGACUGCCUGUUAUGCGAAUGCAGUAGAAGCCAAGGUAAGUUGCCAGCAAGCAUUAAACUUAUCUUAUAUAAAUCAAUCAUAAUCACUAGUUAUAACUACACAUGGUUGAUGAUAUGACUUGUUUAUCUAGCGUGUCCUGCGUUGCAUGUAAUCGAUGCAACGCUGGGGCAUGAUUUAACAAAAGCGCAUUUCCGAAAAAAGCACAAUCGUUGCACGACAAACUGAAAAAUUGGUGAAGGUGGCGCUACAAAGUAUUAACUUAAGGGGGCUGAAUAAUUUUGCACGCCCAAUUUUUCAGUUUUUGAUUUGUUAAAAAAGUUUGAAAUAUCCAAUAAAUGUCGUUCCACUUCAUGAUUGUGUCCCACUUGUUGUUGAUUCUUCACAAAAAAAAUACAGUUUUAUAUCUUUAUGUUUGAAGCCUGAAAUGUGGCAAAAGGUCGCAAAGUUCAAGGGGGCCGAAUACUUUCGCAAGGCACUGUAUAUACAGUAUAUAUUUUAAAGUGGAUAAUCCUUCAAAUUAGUGGAUUCGGUUAAUUCAGCCACACACGUGACGGACAGGUUUAUGCAGUCGAGCACACCGCCAUGCAAUCUCUA
ensembl:lncRNA